rnacentral:rRNA from 1 species
GAUGAACGCUGGCGGCGUGCCUAAUACAUGCAAGUCGAGCGAACAGACGAGGAGCUUGCUCCUCUGACGUUAGCGGCGGACGGGUGAGUAACACGUGGAUAACCUACCUAUAAGACUGGGAUAACUUCGGGAAACCGGAGCUAAUACCGGAUAAUAUAUUGAACCGCAUGGUUCAAAAGUGAAAGACGGUUUUGCUGUCACUUAUAGAUGGAUCCGCGCUGCAUUAGCUAGUUGGUAAGGUAACGGCUUACCAAGGCGACGAUGCGUAGCCGACCUGAGAGGGUGAUCGGCCACACUGGAACUGAGACACGGUCCAGACUCCUACGGGAGGCAGCAGUAGGGAAUCUUCCGCAAUGGGCGAAAGCCUGACGGAGCAACGCCGCGUGAGUGAUGAAGGUCUUCGGAUCGUAAAACUCUGUUAUUAGGGAAGAACAAAUGUGUAAGUAACUAUGCACGUCUUGACGGUACCUAAUCAGAAAGCCACGGCUAACUACGUG